rnacentral:rRNA from 1 species
GAUGAACGCUGGCGGCGUGCCUAAUACAUGCAAGUCGAGCGAACGGACGAGAAGCUUGCUUCUCUGAUGUUAGCGGCGGACGGGUGAGUAACACGUGGAUAACCUACCUAUAAGACUGGGAUAACUUCGGGAAACCGUAGCUAAUACCGGAUAAUAUUUUGAACCGCAUGGUUCGAAAGUGAAAGACGGUCUUGCUGUCACUUAUAGAUGUAUCCGCGCUGCAUUAGCUAGUUGGUAAGGUAACGGCUUACCAAGGCAACGAUGCAUAGCCGACCUGAGAGGGUGAUCGGCCACACUGGAACUGAGACACGGUCCAGACUCCUACGGGAGGCAGCAGUAGGGAAUCUUCCGCAAUGGGCGAAAGCCUGACGGAGCAACGCCGCGUGAGUGAUGAAGGUCUUCGGAUCGUAAAACUCUGUUAUUAGGGAAGAACAUAUGUGUAAGUAACUGUGCACAUCUUGACGGUACCUAAUCAGAAAGCCACGGCUAACUACGUG